rnacentral:rRNA from 1 species
GAGUUUGAACCUGGCUCAGGAUGAACGCUGGCGGCGUGCCUAAUACAUGCAAGUCGAGCGAACCACUUCGGUGGUGAGCGGCGAACGGGUGAGUAACACGUAGGUGAUCUGCCCAUCAGACGGGGACAACGAUUGGAAACGAUCGCUAAUACCGGAUAGGACGAAAGUUUAAAGGUGCUUCUGGCACCGCUGAUGGAUGAGCCUGCGGCGCAUUAGCUAGUUGGUAGGGUAAAGGCCUACCAAGGCGACGAUGCGUAGCCGACCUGAGAGGGUGAACGGCCACACUGGGACUGAGACACGGCCCAGACUCCUACGGGAGGCAGCAGUAGGGAAUCUUCGGCAAUGGGCGAAAGCCUGACCGAGCAACGCCGCGUGAAUGAUGAAGGCCUUCGGGUUGUAAAAUUCUGUUAUAAGGGAAGAACGACUUUAGUAGGAAAUGGCUAGAGUGUGACGGUACCUUAUGAGAAAGCCACGGCUAACUACGUGCCAGCAGCCGCGGUAAUACGUAGGUGGCGAGCGUUAUCCGGAAUUAUUGGGCGUAAAGAGCGCGCAGGUGGUUGAUUAAGUCUGAUGUGAAAGCCCACGGCUUAACCGUGGAGGGUCAUUGGAAACUGGUCGACUUGAGUGCAGAAGAGGGAAGUGGAAUUCCAUGUGUAGCGGUGA